UACGUAGGGGGCAAGCGUUGUCCGGAAUCAUUGGGCGUAAAGCGCGCGUAGGCGGCCCGGUAAGUCCGCUGUAAAAGUCAAAGGCUCAACCUUUGAAUGCCGGUGGAUACUGUCGGGCUAGAGUCCGGAAGAGGCGAGUGGAAUUCCUGGUGUAGCGGUGGAAUGCGCAGAUAUCAGGAGGAACACCGAUAGCGAAGGCAGCUCGCUGGGACGGUACUGACGCUAAGGCGCGAAAGCGUGGGGAGCGAACAGG
rnacentral:rRNA from 1 species